rnacentral:misc_RNA from 1 species
AACGCACAUUGCGCCCGUCAGUAUUCUGGCGGGCAUGCCUGUUCGAGCGUCAUUUCAACCCUCAGAACCCCUUUGGGGGAUCUGGUGCUGGGGAUCAGCCUCUCAGGACCGUCUCGCUUCCCCUCGGGCUGCGUCUCGGGCCUGGCUGUCCCUCAAAUACAGUGGCGGUCUGGCCGCGACUUCCUUGCGUAGUAAUUUCACCUCGCACUGAAGCUUCGCUGCCUUACCACGCCGUAAAACCUUUCGAGCCUCCCGGGGCGAGAAAAUUUAUCUUUGGUUGACCUCGGAUCAGGUAGGGUUACCCGCUGAACUUAA